rnacentral:rRNA from 2 species
UGCAGUCGAGCGAAUGGAUUAAGAGCUUGCUCUUAUGAAGUUAGCGGCGGACGGGUGAGUAACACGUGGGUAACCUGCCCAUAAGACUGGGAUAACUCCGGGAAACCGGGGCUAAUACCGGAUAACAUUUUGCACCACAUGGUGCGAAAUUGAAAGGCGGCUUCGGCUGUCACUUAUGGAUGGACCCGCGUCGCAUUAGCUAGUUGGUGAGGUAACGGCUCACCAAGGCAACGAUGCGUAGCCGACCUGAGAGGGUGAUCGGCCACACUGGGACUGAGACACGGCCCAGACUCCUACGGGAGGCAGCAGUAGGGAAUCUUCCGCAAUGGACGAAAGUCUGACGGAGCAACGCCGCGUGAGUGAUGAAGGCUUUCGGGUCGUAAAACUCUGUUGUUAGGGAAGAACAAGUGCUAGUUGAAUAAGCUGGCACCUUGACGGUACCUAACCAGAAAGCCACGGCUAACUACGUGCCAGCAGCCGCGGUAAUACGUAGGUGGCAAGCGUUAUCCGGAAUUAUUGGGCGUAAAGCGCGCGCAGGUGGUUUCUUAAGUCUGAUGUGAAAGCCCACGGCUCAACCGUGGAGGGUCAUUGGAAACUGGGAGACUUGAGUGCAGAAGAGGAAAGUGGAAUUCCAUGUGUAGCGGUGAAAUGCGUAGAGAUAUGGAGGAACACCAGUGGCGAAGGCGACUUUCUGGUCUGUAACUGACACUG